AUUGAACGCUGGCGGCAUGCCUUACACAUGCAAGUCGAACGGCAGCACGGGGCAACCUGGUGGCGAGUGGCGAACGGGUGAGUAAUGCAUCGGAACGUGCCAUUGAGUGGGGGAUAACGUAGCGAAAGUUGCGCUAAUACCGCAUAUUCUGUGAGCAGGAAAGCAGGGGACCGCAAGGCCUUGCGCUCUUUGAGCGGCCGAUGUCAGAUUAGCUAGUUGGUGAGGUAACGGCUUACCAAGGCGACGAUCUGUAGCGGGUCUGAGAGGAUGAUCCGCCACACUGGAACUGAGACACGGUCCAGACUCCUAUGGAGGCAGCAUGGGGAAUUUUGGACAAUGGGCGCAAGCCUGAUCCAGCCAUGCCGCGUGAGUGAAGAAGGCC
rnacentral:rRNA from 1 species